AAAGUCGUAACAAGGUUUCCGUAGGUGAACCUGCGGAAGGAUCAUUACUGAGAUAGGGUCCUUCGGGGCCCGACCUCCAACCCAAUGUCUAUUGUACCUCUGUUGCCUCGGCGGGCCGUCGGUCCUCCGCCGUCGGCCCCCUAACAAGGGCCCUCGUGCGCCCGCCGCAGGACCUAUUAAACUCUGUUUUAAAACAUGUAUUCUGAGUGGGAAUUAAAUAACUUCAAAACUUUCAACAACGGAUCUCUUGGUUCUG
rnacentral:misc_RNA from 1 species